rnacentral:rRNA from 14 species
CCCAUUCGGCCCGUCUUGUAACACGGACCAAGGAGUCUAUCCAGUAUGCGAGUGUUAGGGUGGAAAAACCCGAACGCAUAAGGAAACUGAGGAUAAGCUGUUAACAGCAGCAGCCGAACCUGCAUCUUUGAUAACGGUAUCGAGCAAGAGCAUAUUUGAUAGGACCCGAAAGAUGGUGAACUUCGCUUGAGUAGGGUGAAGCCAGGGGAAACUCUGGUGAAAGCUCGAAGCGGUACUGACGUGCAAAUCGUUCGUCAAACUUGAGUGAAGGGGCGAAAGACUAAUCGAACCAUCUAGUAGCUGGUUCCCUCUGAAGUUUCUCUCAGGAUAGCUGGAACAAAAACGCAGUUUUAUUAGGUAAAGCGAAUGAUUAGAGGAAUCGGAGUUCAAAGAAUUUUGACCUAUUCUCAAACUUUAAAUUGGUAAGAACCGGGGGUUGACUUAAGUGAACCUUUGGGCAGAAUGCUUGUUCCAUGUGGGCAAUUUUUGGUAAGCAGAACUGGCGAUGAGGGCUGAACCUAACGCGAGGAUAAGGCGACCCACUGGCGGCUCAUAGAUACCAGAAAAGGUGUUAGUUCAUUUAGACAGUAGGACGGUGGCCAUGGAAGUCGGAACCCGCUAAGGAGUGUGUAACAACUCACCUGCCGAAUGUACUAAAAAUGGAUGGCUCAAGCGUCUCACCCAUACCUCGC